rnacentral:tRNA from 1 species
GACCCUGUCAUCUAGUGGUUUAGGAUAUAUGGUUCUCAUCCAUAUCACACGGGUUCGAAUCCCGUCAGGGUCA